rnacentral:lncRNA from 1 species
AUGAGAAGGAGACAACAGAAACCUGGCUUCACAGAGUACAAUGACUUCUCUAUUUGCCUGUGGUUUGAUUUUCCUGAAAGCUCCGUCAGCUGUGCAGGUUCCACCCCCUGGCUCCAAACCCAGCAUGUACAGGUCCAGAACAGCAUGUUCACCUACAGAACAACCCUGCACAGGAGCUCAGCCUCAGUGUCCUGCACAGUCCUCACCGUCCACCAUAGCACAGCUCACCGAACAGCAACCAGGCCACAACGCAAGGAAUGUAAGCAUACGUUUAGGCUGGUGUCAGUGCGACGCAGUCUCAUCCUCUGUCUCAUCCUGCGUCUCAUCCUGCGUCUCAUCCUCCGUCUCAUCCUGCGUCUCAUCCUCCCUGUGAUCCUGCGUCUCAUCCUGCGUCUCAUCCUGCGUCUCAUCCUCCGUCUCAUCCUCCCUGUGAUCCUGCGUUUCAUCCUCCGUCUCAUCCUUCGUCUCAUCCUCCGUCUCAUCCUGCGUCUCAUCCUCCGUCUCAUUCUCCGUCUCAUCCUUCGUCUCAUCCUCCGUCUCAUCCUGCGUCUCAUCCUCCGUCUCAUCCUCCGUCUCAUCCUGCGUCUCAUCCUCCGUCUCAUCCUCCGUGUGAUCCUGCGUCUCAUCCUCCGUCUCAUCCUCCGUCUGAUCCUUCGUGUGAUCCUCCAACUCAUCCUCCGUCUCAUCCUCCAUCUCAUCCUCCGUCUCAUCCUCCGUCUCAUCCUGCGUCUCAUCCUCCGUCUUAUCCUUCGUCUCAUCCUUCGUGUGAUCCUUCAUCUCAUCCUGCAUCUCAUCCUCCGUCUCAUCCUCUAUCUCAUCCUCCGUCUCAUCCUGCGUCUCAUCCUCCAUCUCAUCCUCCGUCUCAUCCUGCGUCUCAUCCUCCGUCUCAUCCUCCGUCUCAUCCUGCGUCUCAUCCUCCGUCUUAUCCUUCGUCUCAUCCUUCGUGUGAUCCUUCAUCUCAUCCUGCGUCUCAUCCUCCGUCUCAUCCUCUAUCUCAUCCUCCGUCUCAUCCUGCGUCUCAUCCUGCGUCUCAUCCUCCGUCUCAUCCUCCGUGUGAUCCUGCGUCUCAUCCUCCAUCUCAUCCUCCGUCUCAUCCUUCGUGUGAUCCUCCAUCUCAUCCUCCGUCUCAUCCUCCGUCUCAUCCUGCGUCUCAUCCUCCGUCUCAUCCUCCGUCUCAUUUUCCGUGUGAUCCUGCGUCUCAUCCUCCGUCUCAUCCUGCGUCUCAUCCUACGUCUCAUCCUUCGUGUGAUCCACCAUCUCAUCCUCCGUCUCAUCCUCCAUCUCAUCCUCCGUCUCAUCCUGCGGCUCAUCCUCCGUCUCAUCCCUCGUGUGAUCCUCCAUCUCCUCCUCCGUCUCAUCCUCCGUCUCAUCCUUCGUGUGAUCCUCCAUCUCAUCCUCCGUCUCAUCCUCCAUCUCAUCCUCCGUCUCAUCCUGCGUCUCAUCCUGCGUCUCAUCCUGCAUCUCAUCCUCCGUCUCAUCCUUCGUCUCAUCCUCCAUCUCAUCCUCCGUCUCAUCCUCCGUCUCAUCCUGUGUCUCAUCCUCCGUCUCAUCCUGCGUCUCAUCCUCCGUGUGAUCCUGCGUCUCAUCCUCCGUCUCAUCCUGCGUCUCAUCCUCCGUCUCAUCCUGCGUCUCAUCCUUCGUGUGAUCCUCCAUCUCAUCCUCCUUUUCAUCCUCCAUCUCAUCCUCCGUCUCAUCCUUCGUCUCAUCCUGCGUCUCAUCCUCCGUCUCAUCCUCCAUCUCAUCCUCCGUCUCAUCCUCCGUCUCAUCCUGCGUCUCAUCCUCCGUCUCAUCCUCCGUCUCAUCCUUCGUGUGAUCCUCCAUCUCACCCUUCUUUUUCAUCCUCCAUCUCAUCCUCCGUCUCAUCCUUCGUCUCAUCCUGCGUCUCAUCCUCCUUUUCAUCCUCCAUCUCAUCCUCCGUCUCAUCCUCCGUCUCAUCCUGCGUCUCAUCCUCCGUCUCAUCCUCCGUCUCAUCCUCCGUCUCAUCCUCCGUCUCAUCCUCUGUCUCAUCCUCUGUCUCAUCCCACCCCCUGGUAG